rnacentral:rRNA from 1 species
GACGAACGCUGGCGGCGUGCUUAACACAUGCAAGUCGAACGGAAAGGCCCCUUUGGGGGUCCUCGAGUGGCGAACGGGUGAGUAACACGUGAGUAACCUGCCCUUGACUUCGGGAUAACUUCAGGAAACUGGGGCUAAUACCGGAUAGGAAUCCUUGCUGCAUGGUGGGGGUUGGAAAGCUUCGGCGGUUUUGGAUGGACUCGCGGCUUAUCAGCUUGUUGGUGGGGUAGUGGCUUACCAAGGCUUUGACGGGUAGCCGGCCUGAGAGGGCGACCGGCCACAUUGGGACUGAGAUACGGCCCAGACUCCUACGGGAGGGAGGCGUGGGGAAUAUUGCACAAUGGGCGGAAGCCUGAUGAAGCAACGCCGCGGGCGGGAGGACCGCCUUCGGGUUGUAAACCGCUUUCAGCAGGGGCGAAGCUUGUGGUGACGGUACCUGCAGAAGAAGCACCGGCUAACUACGUG